rnacentral:rRNA from 1 species
UACGUAGGGUGCAAGCGUUAAUCGGAAUUACUGGGCGUAAAGCGUGCGCAGGCGGUUUUGUAAGUCUGUCGUGAAAUCCCCGGGCUCAACCUGGGAAUGGCGAUGGAGACUGCAAGGCUAGAGUUUGGCAGAGGGGGGUAGAAUUCCACGUGUAGCAGUGAAAUGCGUAGAUAUGUGGAGGAACACCGAUGGCGAAAGGCAGCCCCCUGGGUCAAAACUGACGCUCAUGCACGAAAGCGUGGGGAGCAAACAGG